rnacentral:SRP_RNA from 1 species
GCCAGGCACAGUGGCAUGUGCCUGUAGUCCUAGCUACUAGGGAGGCUGAGGCUGGAGGAUUGCUUGAGUCCAGGAGGUCUGGGCUGUAGUAAGCUAUGCCGAUCAGGUGUCCACACUAAGUUUGGCAUCAAUAUGGUGACGUUCUGGAAGCAGGGACCACCAGGUUGCCUAAGGAGGAGUAAACCGGCCCAGGUUGGAAAAGGAUCAGGUAAAAACUCCCAUGCUGAUCAGUAGUGGGAUCGCGCCUGUAAAUAGGCACUGCACUCCAGCCUGGGCAACAUAACGAGAUCCCACCUCU